UACGUAGGGGGCAAGCGUUGUCCGGAUUUCUUGGGCGUAAAGAGCGUGUAGGCGGCCAAGCAGGUCAGCUGUGAAAACUCGAGGCUCAACCUCGAGACGUCGGUUGAAACCGCUUGGCUAGAGUCCGGAAGAGGAGAGUGGAAUUCCCGGUGUAGCGGUGAAAUGCGCAGAUAUCGGGAAGAACACCCGUGGCGAAGGCGGCUCUCUGGGACGGUACUGACGCUGAGACGCGAAAGCGUGGGGAGCGAACAGG
rnacentral:rRNA from 1 species